CCCCUUCCCCUCUGAUCUGUCCCUGUUCCCUCCAACUCUCAUGUCCUUUCCAUUUGGAAAAGCUCUAUUUCCAUUUUUCUUCAAUUUCCUUUUUAAAAAUCCCCUUUCCCUUCCUUCCUUCCCUCCUCCCUCCAUCUGUUAUUCCCCUUUCCAUGUGAACAAGAUCUCCCUACUUCCUAUUAUCUUUUAUUUUGCUCUCUAUUUGUACUUCAGGUUUCUCCUAGAAGAGAACCCAUGUGAUAUUUAGACUUACGUGUCUGAUCCUCCUGCCUUAAAGCCACUGAGUAGCUGGGAUUACAGGCCUGCACCACCCCACCAGGAUUAAUGUUGUAUUUUUAAUGGUCUUAUUAUUCUCUCAAUUACAAGCGCUUAUUUCAUAGUCUUUACCAUUAGAGACAACAGGACUGUCUUAACUACACUUAAAGAAUAACCAACAUGUUUUCCUUAAUAUUGUGUCCAUUAAAUAGUUAAAAUAUAAAAAAGAAAAUUAUUAGAAAAAUACAAUAGCACAAGAAGAAUUAUCAUUAUUCUUUCUAGUUUUCACUUUCUAUUUAGAAAACACACGAGAUAGAAACUGUACCUUAACUUUGACCCAGUUACAGUGGUGAAGCAAUAUGAACUCUGCCCCUGAACGCCAACCUGGAAGUGGAGGUUAUUGCUUCUUCCCACAUGGGUGUCAGUUCAAUUUGAUAAGUGUACCACAUGAACCAACCAUUUAGGAAGCAAGGAAUUAAGAAAACACAAUUCCUGUCUCCCAGAAGCUUAUAGUAUAGAGGAGGUUUUUUUUUGAAUGGUCAAAGUCAGAACAGGUUUUCUUUGUUUAUUCUUUUUGUCGGGAUAGAAAUUGUAAAAAUUUCUCGGCUGCUUCCUUUGGGAAAACGAAGUACUUUAAAAACAAUUCUUUUUAGAAAUGUACCGCAACGUUUCCUUGGGGGAGCAGGUACUGGGGAUGGAAUGCACUCAGUCUGCACUGAGCUACAGAUGUUUCCAAGGCCGAGACAUCCGAAGACUUGACUGGGGCAGAAGCUCUGCUUUGAAAGUGACUCACUCAAAUACGUGGCAAAUUGGUACCCUCUGAAGAGUUCUUGAUCUGUUAAACUUGUACCUCUGCCCAGAGCUUGUUGAAUGUCCACACCCUCACCACUAACCCAACAAGCUCCAAGAGAGAUGGAGGCUGCAUUAUCUUUAUAACCUAACCUCAUGAGAUAAGUGUUGUCAUUUCUCAAAUAUCUUAUUGGCUAAACCAGUCAUGCCUGCUCAUUUUUAAAUGAAACUAUACAAACCAUGUAAAACAGGAGAACUACACACAAAAUAUGCAAAGAAUCAUUGGGCCAUUUUCAAGGCUGGCUACCACAAGGACCAAUGUUUGACUUUAGAAUUUUCAUUAUCUGUUACUUUAAACAUAAAACCUUUUUAAAAAUUAUCAAUGUGAUAUAUCUCUUCCUAUUUUUCAAACAUUUCUGAAUUUUUUAUUUAGGUAGGUCUUUAUAAGAAAUGGAAUUGGAAUUUGUUCUGCUUUUUAUUUUCUGUCUGACAAUCCCCUUUAACUGAAAAAUGGACUCUGUCGUAUUUGUAUUUAUUUUGAUUACUGAUGUAUUUGGGUUUGUUUCUACUAUCUACUACUGUAUUUUUCUGUGUUAACUUUUUCCCCUCCUUUCUUCUCCUUGACCAACAUUUUUAAUCAGUGUAUAGCACUUUCACUAUAUCAAGUGAAAUAUAGCCAUAUUCUGAUUGUGAUUAAACCAUAAUGUAAUUGAAGACUUUUAAAUAAAUAUGAAGAUCAGGGUCUUUCGUCAAGUUUGUAUUUCAACCUUUGUCUUACUGAGUAUUAUCUUGCCUGUGUUCUCUGUCCCACCUUUGUAACUCUUCAAUUACACUUUCUGUUUCCAUACUACAUAUCUUAAAAGUCAUUUUUAUAUAUUCCAGCUAUAUCUCUUCACUUUCCUUUGUAUGCAAUUUAUUCAGACCUAUUUUAUAUUUCAAUAAUACCCUUUUCAGCAAUUUUACUCUGCUGUACAAGCCAUGCAAUGAAUUUUACUCUUCUUUUAUUUUACUUUCAAAAUGUCAGUUGGUUCUCUUUCACAUGUAUCUAUAUAUUUGCUUUUUUUCCCCACGUACUGAAGAUUGAACCCAGAGCCUUCCCGCUAGCUGCAUCUUCUCCCCCCUGACCCACCCCACCCCCUUUUUUUUUCAGACACAGUCUCACUAAGUCACUAAGUUGUCCAGGUUGUGAUUGAACUGUGAUCCUCUUGAUUAUGUUUCCUAGGGCUGGGAUUACAGGUGUGUGCCACCAUGCCAGCUUCUACUUGCUUUUAUAGUUUUUUGUCUUUUACCGUUGUCACCUAAAUUACUUUUCUUUUUUUUUUUUUUUUUGAGGUUUCCCCAAAAUGCUUUACUAAGACAAAGGUGGGGGAGGGGCAGGGAAGGAUCCUUCACCCCAGAGACUGAAGCCCCCCCCCCGCCCCCCUGCAGCCACCCGGCUGAUUCAGUGCACUGCAGGGAGGGCCUUCUGGGCUCCAGGGAGAACUGCUGGGGCGAGAGCAGGCGGGGUCCGCGUUGCUUUCCUCAUGCAGCGCUAAAUUACUUUUAAACAUAUCAACUAUAAUUGAUUUGCAUUAUAAAAGUGAAAGUUAGCUCCAUCUGUUUCAGGUCUUCUCCUUCUUAAUUUUUCCUGAAGACUCUUUCUGUGAUGCUCUAGUCUAUCAAUUUAGUAGUUAAGUUUUGACGAAUCUCAUAUGUUUUGAAAUUUUAUCUGUGAAAAUUAUUUAAGACCUUGAUAAAGAGAUUUUUCUGGUGGGGGUGGGCUGGGAGUGUAGCUUAGAGGUGUAGCACUUGCUAUCAUGACCAAGACCCUGGAUUCAAACCUCAGCACCACAAAACAAAUAGACAAAAAAAAAAAAAAAAAAAAGAAGCAUGAAAAUAUUUUCCUUUUCACAGGAUUUUUGCUAAUUUCUACAAAGUACGUAGGGACACUAAAAAUCAUGUAUCAUUUAAACUGAAAUUUUACAUUUUUAUACAUUUUUGGUUAUAUAUGUAAAAUGAAUCUGACUUACAGGGAGAUGCGAUGGGGUAUUUUCUUGAGGUGAUACUCUCUUUUUUUCACUCUACACCCAAAACCAAACCAAUAUUCAUAGUCUCUCUCCCUCCCUCUCUCCCUGUCUCCCUCCUUCUCUCUUGCUCUCCCUCUCUCCCUGUCUCCCUCUCUCCCUGUCUCCCUCUCUCUCUCUCUCUCUCUCUCUCUCUCUCGCUCUCAUUUAUUUCAUUUACAGUAAGUGUUGCCUUUCAGGGAUCCUAUUUAUAAAGAGAGGUUUCUGACCGGACUUGCAAACUUUUGCAGCCAAAAUAGAUUAUAUUCAUGAAAACUGAUAUCUUAAACUUUAGACUGUAUGCCAUAAAGAUUGCCAAACAUCUCCAGGGAAAGCAUCUAUUUCAGUGCUUGUUUAUUUCUUUUGAUUUGUGAUUUCAUACUGCUCAUGGACUAUGAUAAUUCCCCCUUACUGUCCCUCCACCUCAGUUAUGCAAUUAAAUAAUCUUUAAGCAUAUAUACUGUGUGCAAUUUUUUUUUUUUUUUUUUUGCUAAUGGGAAAUUUGCUAGUGGGAAGAUUUUCUAAAUCUAUCAUGUUGUCUGAAAUUAUAGGAGGAAUGACCAUGGGAUUUCUCAUCAGAAAAGAGCAAAAUUCUAUUUUUUAAUUUGUAUUUUUAGUGAAUGUUUGCUGUACACGAUUGCAUUCAUUAUAAUGAGUUGGUAUUUGUACAUAACACAUCCUAAUUUUUUUUCAUCUGCUUCCCUUGCCCUCGCUCAUCCCUCCAUCUCAUGGUUACUUUCUCUUUUGCAAAAGAUUUAUUUUUCUUACUAUCUAUAUUUACUUUGCUCUUUAUUUAUAUUUUGGGUUUCUCAUAUAAGAGAAACGAUGCAAUAUUUAAGCUUGUGUGUGUGAUUUAUUCCACCUAACAUUAUGGUCUCAUCGUGCAUCCGUUAUCUUAAAAAUGACUAGAGUUUAUCCUUCAUUCUUGAACUCAGACUUUUGAAUUCCAUCAGCCUUCAUUCUUCAAAAGAAACAAAACACAGCUACCACCACACAUUUUUGAAAUAUUGAGAUUAUCAUUAAUCCCAGAAAAGUAGUAUUAGAUACUACUGACUCCAUCAUGAGAAAGAGUUUUAACUGUGGUGAGCAACAAAGAACCAAUAAUCUUGUACUAUGUUAGAUGUAAAAUAAGAGAUUUCCUAUGGUGAAAGCAAAGGGCAAUGGUCAGAAACUGAAACGGGAGAGAAAAAGACUGAAAUAAAGACUUCCUAUAUAUUUAUACAUUCUCUUUCUUUAAAAAGAAAAGUGAAAAAUAUUGUCUAACAUUAUACUGAAGUUUCUUUUAUUUAAGAAACAAACAAAAACUAUAGACACAUACUUUUGCAAGAGAGUCUGAAUUCUACAAGUAUUUGAUCUCAGAAAUCUAAAGUGCGCAAAUAAUUUAUGUACAAAUUUAGUAAAUAAUGAACAGAGUCCCUUCAACCUGAGGUUUUCUUGCUCUAUUCUCUUUCAUUGAAGGGUAUCACCAACCAUCCAUUUAGCAAGCUGGAUAGUUAAAAAUUACUGAAGGAAUCUUUCACACAUUUGCCAUCAAAUCUUUCACAUUUUUUCCUCAUAAUCUCUCUGCAAUCAAUCUACCUCUUCUUAUUUCCUCUACCAGCAUCUUUGCAUGAAUUAUUGUGAUAUGCCUCCCAGACUUCUCAAAUAUCUCAAUUAGCAUGGGAACUGGUACACAGGCCCAUAAUCUCAGCACUUAGGAGGCUGAGACAGAAGGAUAGUGAUUUUGAGGCCAGCCUGGGUAACAUUGUGAUUUCAAGGCCAGCCUGCACUUCAUAGCAAGACCUUGUCUCACAAAACAAAAUAAAGGGCCGGGGAUUUAGCUCAGUGGUUCCGCUGCUUGCCUCACAAGCACAAGGAGACCCGAGUUUGAUCCCCGGUACCAAAAGAGAAACAAAAAAAACCAAAAUAAAACAAAAUCUCCAUAGCUUCUUGUAACUUUGGAGGAAGGAAAAAAUGUUAUCUAUGAUAACAUCAUCUACAAGAUUCAUAUUUUACCCUUUUCCUACAUCUUACUAAUAUUCUUCAAAAUAUUCGUUUCUCUUUACACAAUUCCAUUAGCGUUCUUUCUUUUCUUCAAAAUCAUCAUGUUCCUUCCUGUACCACAAGAGUUUUCAUAUGUCAGAUUCCCUACAAGGAAUAUUCUCCUUCCUUUCUUUUCUUUCAUGUUAAUUUUCACUCCCUAUCAACUAUCAUAUGAAUUCAAACUUUUUUGGUGAAGCUCUCUCUGCAGUUUUUUUUAUUAGACUGCAAACCUAUUGAAGUAUCACGUCUCAUUCAGUAAACUUUGAGGAAGUAUAAUUAUUAAAUUGAUGUCUACCUUUACUCUAGCCCAAAGCUCCAUGAACAUAAGGAAAUUAGCUAACACCUUACUGUUCAUAAGAAAUAG
ensembl:lncRNA